CUACGGGACGCUCCAGUGGGGAAUUUUGCGCAAUGGGGGAAACCCUGACGCAGCAACGCCGCGUGAGCGAAGAAGGCCCUCGGGUCGUAAAGCUCUGUCAAGUGGGAAAAAAGCCUUUUGAUCAAUACCCAAAAGGUUUGAUGGUACCACUGGAGGAAGCACCGGCUAACUCCGUGCCAGCAGCCGCGGUAAUACGGAGGGUGCAAGCGUUGUUCGGAAUUACUGGGCGUAAAGGGCGUGCAGGCGGUUUGGCAAGUCAGAUGUGAAAGCCCUGGGCUUAACCCGGGAAGUGCAUUUGAAACUGCAUUUCUUGAGUAUGGGAGAGGAGAGUGGAAUUCCCAGUGUAGAGGUGAAAUUCGUAGAUAUUGGGAGGAACACCCGUGGCGAAGGCGACUCUCUGGACCAAUACUGACGCUGAGACGCGAAAGCGUGGGGAGCAAACAGGAUUAGAUACCCGUGUAGUC
rnacentral:rRNA from 1 species